rnacentral:misc_RNA from 1 species
UAAGGAGCUGCUAAGAAUGCCAAAAGACUCAGAAAUACAGAUUCAAAAGUGGCAAACACUCACCAAGUAUGAAGAAUCCAAAUCCACUAAUCAUCUUAUUAUUGUGCCUUUGUUUUUACCAAUCAAUAAUGCUGUGCUCAAGCUACAUAAAUCCCAAUCAAGUGAAGGGAUCAAAAAAUAUGCAGGACAACCUUCUGUACACUAACAUUAUGUAUUGAUUAACAAGCAAGUAUAUACAACUCACUUCAAUAAGCUGGUGUGGUUGCAUGCACAUCAAACCAAAACUGAUAUCGGAAAUCUGUGUUCCAGUCUCGUGUUCCAUGAGAGUUUUCGGCUCACAAGACGGUUCUAAAAAAACAUAAACAUAUCAACAAGAGUGGUAAAUCCUGCAGAAAUUCAGUAAGAAUUUGAUUCAUAUGAAUACGAAAGCCAAGGGUGCUCUAGUGCCUCCCUUGCAGUUGGACGCCUCAAAGGAUUGACCUCAAGCAAGCUUCUCACAAAGUCGAUAAAUCCAUCAUCAUAAGUCUGCAGAUGAUGCUCCAAUGAGGACUCCUCUGGGAUAAUGUACUCUAUUUGGUUUGUUUCCUGCACACAUAAUUAGCAGCAUUAGUAAUAAGGAGUGGUGAAAUUAGUAUAUGGGGGCCCCAGAAACGGGGAGAGUUCCCUGUUUGCUCUUGUAGGGAGGUUGUUUAUGUUUAUGCAACUUGAGCCCAUGACCUUCUGAUCACAAAGAAACUCAAAUCACAGUGGAAAUUGAUUAAAUUAUUAAUCAUUAAGGGAAGUCUAUUAGAAUAUGAUCUCUCGACUUAAAAGUACUUUUAUGCGUCUCAUGAUUUAAAAAAAAAUUCCCCCAGUGGAGUUUGAAUUUAGCAGCGCAUUAACGGUCUAAAUAAUUUCACCUAAAUUGAACUUCAGACAACGAUUACUUCAGCUUUCACUGUCUCACACAUGAAGACAAGAAGUCAUGUCCAAAAUUGAGUUGCAGGCAAAGCAUGCCCAGUAUAUUAUGAUUUGGUGAAGUAAAUAUGGUUGACAAACCUCAUUUACAUAAUAGAGAUCGUAUUCUUUUGUAAAGUACUUGUGUGUCUCCUGCCCCCUCACCAACAUCUCCAAAUCAAUAGGGCCCAGCAUCCCAAUCAUAAGUGCAAGGAUCAUUACAACCGCAUCAUUUGGAAACAGCACCUGAUAAAGAAUAUAUAUUCAAUAUGACAUGCUGACUAAAUUAUUGAAGGGAACUAUUCUAUAAUGUUCAAGGCAAUCCAAGAGAAACUUCAAUGGACGCUGAAGCUAUCCAUGGAAUAUGCAAAGAUGAGUAAAGAUAUCAACUUUAAUUCAACAAAAAUAAAAAGUAAAGCUAAAACAUACUUCCCCAGAACAUAGCUCAGCCAAGAUGCAGCCAAGAGACCAUAAGUCAAUCUUCUGGUCAUAUGGAAGACCCAAAUUGACUUCAGGGGCUCUGUAGGAACGAGAUUGUACAUAUAGGCACAAGUUGUCUGACUUAAAGCAACUGCUUCCAAGAUCAAUAACCUUAAUCUCACAUCUCCUGUAACUCUUUAUCAGAAUAUUCUCAGGCUUGAGAUCACAAUGAAUAAUUCCCAAGUGAUGCAAGAAUUCCAGUGCCUCCAAACAUUGACGAGUUAUAACCUGCAGUCUGCUCAGAGUGAAAUAUGGUUCACCGCCUGAUUCUUGAUUAAAUUUCUGAAAUUCAUACAAGUUUGCACGGAGGAGUUCACAUACGAUGAAGAGAUGCUCCUGCAGAGUUCUAAGUAGACAAUAUUACAAGCAGUAUGAUAAUUUCAACAAGUGAGAAUAUUUUAAUGAUUAUCACAAUUUCUAUCAGUAAUUUAUGAGAACCAUACACAAGAUAAAGCCAUGAAAUCCCAGAUACGUGUUCUCUGCCACCAGUGACCGUAUGAGAAUAGAAUGAGAAAAAUUAUAAUGUUUUUGCUGAAAUUAAAAGGCACGAUUAUACUGUUGUACCAUAUAUUCAAGGAACGAGAUUAACGAGAAGGUGUAAUAGAUUCUUAUUAGCAAUAACUUUCAGGAAAAACACAAUAAAUUACCCAACUUUUCUAGAUUUACCUGGUGAUAGAAGUAGUCAUAAAGACGAAGAAUGUGGCGUUCAUCAGCUGGAUCAUGCUUGUUCACAAGCUUCAGAAGUUUAAUUUCAUCUAAACUCUGAUCGAAAAAAUCUUUAUCGUUUUUAAUAAUCUUCAGGCAAACAUCUACUUCUGUGUGAAGAUCAUGAGCCUGAACAACCUUACUGAAAGCAGCUGAACCUAGGUAUUCUGUGACAUAAUAUCUGCCUGCGAUGACAGAAUUAAGCACAAUAGGCAGAUCCUUAUUUUCCUCGAAUCCUGUCCUGUAGAUUGCAUAACUUGUAAGUAUACUGAUUCUACAUAUCAGCUAGCAAUGCACAUGCUUUAAAUAUCACUUGAAACAAAGAACCAGCAGCAGGAUUCCAAAACACACAAGACCUAAAUAAUAUAAAGGGUCAAUUUGCUAUACAGGGGAAGUGUCCUCCUUCCAAUUAAGAAUGACUUGAUAAGUUUAAUGAUGCUGAGAAGCCGGCAAGAAUUUGAGCAAGACAUAUUAGACACUACUAAACUAAAACAUGUUUAACUAAUUCCAAUCCAAUGCUUGAACGAAUUUUCUUAUGGCAUACUAAUUAGCUCCAAAAUUUUAACUAUCUCAGUUGAUAUCCAUACCAAGAUCAGAACUACAAUGCAACCAAAUCCUCAGGAAAUCAACUGUCUCAAACUAACCUGUUUUUCCUAUGUAUGAUUCGCAGAUCAAAUACUUCAUAUUCAUCCUCCUGAGUAUCGAACAUCAGAAGCUCAUCUGCAGUAACUUCACCAUCUUCAUCUGCAGCAGUCUUAAGCUCGUCAGCUUCUCCGUUUGCUUCUCUACCAUUUCCAACUUCAUAGUCAGCAAAUCCAUUUGAUAUUAUUUCAGUGGAGCUUUUAUAAUUUUCAAACAAGUCACUGUUGGAAUGCGCUUUUGAAGAGUAGUAACCAUUCUUGUUUUUUCCAUUUCCAGGAGCUACAUCACAAUCAGUGGGAAUAUCUCCAACUCUUAGCUGAAAAUCACUCAAAUAAGUGUUUUUGGAACUCGAAUAGAUGUGAUCAAUUGGAUCCCUAACAUAAUUUCCCUCUGCUCCUACACAGCAUUUGUAAAGAGGAACUGAACAACCAUUCCUCUCAAUACCUCCUUCAGGAUGGUUUCCAUUAUCAAAAUGAUAAAAAUCCAUUGCUUGAGCUUCAUUCUUAUCUUUCACAGAUGUCACAUUAAAAAGACAAGGCUUAUCCAAGAAAUCAUUGUUUGCUUCUGUUUCAAAUCCUUCAGUUUUAUCAAAUAAACUCUGUGGAUUUUCAAAUUGGUUCACUGUCCCUGAUGUCAUGACAAAUUUAUCCUCGCUUGGACCACCGAUGCAGUCUGGCCCAUUGAACGAUGGAGUCAUGAAGUAGCCCUCGUCUCUUUCAUCAUACCAAUAGAGGUCAUUUUGCAAAUCAAGACCAGGGUAAUCACGUGCUGUGCCAAACUGAGACAACCUAUCUGAUGAUGUUUCUGAAUUAUCUUGAGAUCCAGAACAAAGUCCAUAUGGAUUUGUAAAUUCUGAAGAGCACAAAUUACUAGUGGAAGAUCCCAAGCUAACAAACUCCUCAUCCGAGCCAGACCCAGAACUCGAUCUUGAACCUUCACCACCACCAACACCGCCAUCUUCAUCCGGACGCCGGAAGCUCGCCGGAAUCCUCACCGGAGGCAAAACAAACAAGAAUUUCUCGAAAUCAAAAGAACCCAGUUCAUGUUUCUCAAUCAUAUCCUCUUUAAGAGCAUACUCCGCUUCUUUUAGCCCAUUUUUGCGUAGAAAAUCCAAAACUGAUUGGACGUCUGAGAAGACUGGAACUGGAGGCUCUGCUGCUUCUGCUUCUGCUUCUGCCUUCGCCAUGAUAGUGAAAAGUCAAACAACACAGAGUGAAAGAUGAAAGGAAGCAGCAGGUGAUGAGUAAAUGUGAAUUAGGCAAAAUUGGAGGGUCAAAAGUGAGAAAAAAUAAGCCAUGUUUCAGG